rnacentral:rRNA from 1 species
GGUCAAGUGAAGAAGCGCAUACGGUGGAUGCCUUGGCAGUCAGAGGCGAUGAAAGACGUGGUAGCCUGCGAAAAGCUUUGGGGAGUCGGCAAACAGACUGUGAUCCAGAGAUCUCUGAAUGGGGGAACCCACCUAGGAUAACCUAGGUAUCUUGUACUGAAUCCAUAGGUGCAAGAGGCGAACCAGGGGAACUGAAACAUCUAAGUACCCUGAGGAAAAGAAAUCAACCGAGAUUCCCUUAGUAGUGGCGAGCGAACGGGGACUAGCCCUUAAGUUGGUUUGAGUGUAGUGGAAGGCUCUGGAAAGUGCCGCCGUAGUGGGUGAUAGCCCCGUACACGAAACGCUCUUAUCAAUGAAAUCGAGUAGGACGGGGCACGAGAAACCUUGUCUGAACAUGGGGGGACCAUCCUCCAAGGCUAAAUACUACUGACUGACCGAUAGUGAACCAGUACCGUGAGGGAAAGGCGAAAAGAACCCCGGAGAGGGGAGUGAAAUAGAACCUGAAACCGUAUGCGUACAAGCAGUGGGAGCCCACUUUGUUGGGUGACUGCGUACCUUUUGUAUAAUGGGUCAGCGACUUAUAUUCAGUGGCGAGCUUAACCGAAUAGGGGAGGCGUAGCGAAAGCGAGUCUUAAUAGGGCGCUUUAGUCGCUGGGUAUAGACCCGAAACCGGGCGAUCUAUCCAUGGGCAGGUUGAAGGUUAGGUAACACUGACUGGAGGACCGAACCGACUACCGUUGAAAAGUUAGCGGAUGACCUGUGGAUCGGAGUGAAAGGCUAAUCAAGCUCGGAGAUAGCUGGUUCUCCUCGAAAGCUAUUUAGGUAGCGCCUCGUGUAUCACUGCUGGGGGUAGAGCACUGUUUCGGCUAGGGGGUCAUCCCGACUUACCAAACCGAUGCAAACUCCGAAUACCAGCAAGUGUCAGCACGGGAGACACACGGCGGGUGCUAACGUCCGUCGUGAAAAGGGAAACAACCCAGACCGUCAGCUAAGGUCCCAAAGUUAUGGUUAAGUGGGAAACGAUGUGGGAAGGCUUAGACAGCUAGGAGGUUGGCUUAGAAGCAGCCAUCCUUUAAAGAAAGCGUAAUAGCUCACUAGUCGAGUCGGCCUGCGCGGAAGAUGUAACGGGGCUCAAACCAUACACCGAAGCUACGGGUUCAUCCUUUGGAUGAGCGGUAGAGGAGCGUUCUGUAAGCCUGUGAAGGUGAGUUGAGAAGCUUGCUGGAGGUAUCAGAAGUGCGAAUGCUGACAUGAGUAACGACAAUGGGUGUGAAAAACACCCACGCCGAAAGACCAAGGUUUCCUGCGCAACGUUAAUCGACGCAGGGUUAGUCGGCCCCUAAGGCGAGGCAGAAAUGCGUAGUCGAUGGGAAACGGGUUAAUAUUCCCGUACUUCUAGUUACUGCGAUGGAGGGACGGAGAAGGCUAGGCCAGCACGGCGUUGGUUGUCCGUGUUUAAGGUGGUAGGCUGAUUUCUUAGGUAAAUCCGGGAGAUCAAGGCCGAGAGCUGAUGACGAGCGUUCUUUUAGAAUGCGAAGUGGUUGAUGCCAUGCUUCCAGGAAAAGCUUCUAAGCUUCAGGUAACUAGGAACCGUACCCCAAACCGACACAGGUGGUUAGGUAGAGAAUACCAAGGCGCUUGAGAGAACUCGGGUGAAGGAACUAGGCAAAAUGGCACCGUAACUUCGGGAGAAGGUGCGCCGGUGAGGGUGAAGUAUUUACUACGUAAGCCCAUGCCGGUCGAAGAUACCAGGCCGCUGCGACUGUUUAUUAAAAACACAGCACUCUGCAAACACGAAAGUGGACGUAUAGGGUGUGACGCCUGCCCGGUGCCGGAAGGUUAAUUGAUGGGGUUAGCGCAAGCGAAGCUCUUGAUCGAAGCCCCGGUAAACGGCGGCCGUAACUAUAACGGUCCUAAGGUAGCGAAAUUCCUUGUCGGGUAAGUUCCGACCUGCACGAAUGGCGUAACGAUGGCGGCGCUGUCUCCACCCGAGACUCAGUGAAAUUGAAAUCGCUGUGAAGAUGCAGUGUAUCCGCGGCUAGACGGAAAGACCCCGUGAACCUUUACUAUAGCUUUGCACUGGACUUUGAGCUUGCUUGUGUAGGAUAGGUGGGAGGCUUUGAAGUGGGGACGCCAGUUCUCAUGGAGCCAUCCUUGAAAUACCACCCUGGCAACCUUGAGGUUCUAACUCUGGUCCGUCAUCCGGAUCGAGGACAGUGUAUGGUGGGUAGUUUGACUGGGGCGGUCUCCUCCCAAAGAGUAACGGAGGAGUACGAAGGUGCGCUCAGACCGGUCGGAAAUCGGUCGUAGAGUAUAAAGGCAAAAGCGCGCUUGACUGCGAGACAGACACGUCGAGCAGGUACGAAAGUAGGUCUUAGUGAUCCGGUGGUUCUGUAUGGAAGGGCCAUCGCUCAACGGAUAAAAGGUACUCCGGGGAUAACAGGCUGAUACCGCCCAAGAGUUCAUAUCGACGGCGGUGUUUGGCACCUCGAUGUCGGCUCAUCACAUCCUGGGGCUGAAGCCGGUCCCAAGGGUAUGGCUGUUCGCCAUUUAAAGUGGUACGCGAGCUGGGUUUAGAACGUCGUGAGACAGUUCGGUCCCUAUCUGCCGUGGACGUUUGAGAUUUGAGAGGGGCUGACCUUAGUACGAGAGGACCGGGUUGGACGAACCUCUGGUGUUCCGGUUGUCACGCCAGUGGCACUGCCGGGUAGCUAUGUUCGGAAAAGAUAACCGCUGAAAGCAUCUAAGCGGGAAACUUGCCUCAAGAUGAGAUCUCACUGGAGCCUUGAGCUCCCUGAAGGGCCGUCGAAGACUACGACGUUGAUAGGUGGGGUGUGUAAGCGCUGUGAGGCGUUGAGCUAACCCAUACUAAUUGCCCGUGAGGCUUGACCAUAUAACACCCAAACAAUCUGCCCUCAACGCAGAGGGUG